UACGGAUGGUGCAAGCGUUGUUCGGAUUUAUUGGGCGUAAAGCUCGUGUAGGCGGUUUCUUAAGUCUGAUGUGAAAGCCCUGGGCUCAACCCAGGAAGUGCAUUGGAUACUGGGAGACUUGAAUACGGGAGAGGGUAGUGGAAUUCCUAGUGUAGGAGUGAAAUCCGUAGAUAUUAGGAGGAACACCGGUGGCGAAGGCGGUUAUCUGGCCCAACAUUGACACUGAGACCCGAAAGCGUGGGGAUCAAACAGG
rnacentral:rRNA from 1 species